rfam:Stegodyphus mimosarum contig77593, whole genome shotgun sequence.
GCCUUCGUGGUGUAAUGGUCAGUACACUAGGCGCACAUUCGAGAGGUCCGAGGUUCGAUUCCCGGCGAGGGCA